rnacentral:lncRNA from 1 species
CAGAAACAUUUUCUGUAGUCUUGAGUGUCCUAAAAGAAAGAGACUGGCAUUUUGAAUGCAUGAUACUAAAUUUAAAUGUUGGAGCCUGGAUGUGGGCCACCUCUGGUCAUCAGUGCACUCUAAACUGACCCUGACUUCCCUCCUCAUUGGUUUGUAGCUCUGCACAUCAUCGUUGACCAGGCUUCAUGCUUCAGUCCUAUUUAUGCCAUGAGCUAGAGUGUAAGGCAAUGACAGUGAAGACCUCGAGCACAGGGAAGCAGCUGUUCUAAUGGUCUUUACUUCAUGUGACAUCUCUGAUUAUAGAGCAUUUUAAUCUCAUUAUGAAGAAAUGAAAAGCAAAGAGAGUGGUAUUCAGUUAACAGAACAACUACUAUCUUCGUAUAAGCAGCAUCAGA